rnacentral:rRNA from 1 species
AGAGUUUGAUCCUGGCUCAGAUUGAACGCUGGCGGCAUGCCUUACACAUGCAUGUCGAACGGUAACAGCACUUCGGUGGCUGACGAGUGGCGAACGGGUGAGUAAUACAUCGGAACGUGCCCGAGAGUGGGGGAUAACGCAGCGAAAGCUGUGCUAAUACCGCAUACGAUCUACGGAUGAAAGCAGGGGACCGCAAGGCCUUGCGCUCAUGGAGCGGCCGAUGGCAGAUUAGGUAGUUGGUGGGAUAAAAGCUUACCAAGCCGACGAUCUGUAGCUGGUCUGAGAGGACGACCAGCCACACUGGGACUGGGACACGGCCCAGACUCCUACGGGAGGCAGCAGUGGGGAAUUUUGGACAAUGGGCGAAAGCCUGAUCCAGCCAUGCCGCGUGCAGGAUGAAGGCCUUCGGG